CCAACCAUAGCUCAGUUGGUAGAGCGGAGGACUGUAGCGUAUAUAUGGAGCAGUAAUCCUUAGGUCGCUGGUUCGAAUCCGGCUGGUUGGA
rnacentral:tRNA from 1 species